rnacentral:rRNA from 1 species
GACGAACGCUGGCGGCGUGCUUAACACAUGCAAGUCGAACGGACAGACCCGGCUUUUGUGGGGUGCUCGAUUGGCGCACGGGUGAGUAACACGUGAGUAAACUGUCCUUGACUGUCGGAUAACUUCUGGGAACUGGGGCUAAUACCGCGUAGGAGCUCCUGCUGCAUGUUGGGGGUUGGUAAGUUUCGGCGGUUGGGGAUGGUCUCGCGGCUUAUCAGCUUCUUGGUGGGGUAGUGGAUUACCAAGGCUUCGACGGGUAGCCGGCCUUAGAGGGGGAACAGCCACAUUGGGACUGAGAGACGGACCAGAAGCCUACGGGAGGCAGCAGGGGGGAAUAUGGCACAGUGGGCGGAAGCCUGAUGCAGCAACGCUGCGUGCGGGAUGACGGGUUUCGGGUUGUAAACCGCUUUCGCCUGUGACGAAGCGUGAUUGACGGUAAUUGGUAAAGAAGCACCGGCUAACUACGUG